UACUUUCUGAAACUAAAACCAAAAAAGUCAAAAAUGGUGGCCUACCCUAUUCUAAAGUUAUAAAUGAAAAGUAAGAAAAGUAAGCAAUUAUUGAUUUACAUUAUUGCAUCGUAAGAAAAUAAGUCAAAAUAUCUUCCGUUAUCGUAUCUGCUCCAUUAUUGCUCUUUAUCUUAUCUUUCCAGCUGGCAUUUUGUCUUCUUUAUUCUAGAUGUACCUCUGGAAUAAUAUUAUCUUCUCCAUUGCACCUCGAACAUUGAUGGUCUGGAUAUUUAUGUCCAAUUAUUUUACAGUAUCUUGUUAACAGUCCGUCUGAAAUAAAUCCUUUUUUUAUCGCUCUUGCGGUAGAUUGUUUUUCUGGGUUAAAUAGAAAAUACUAUUUUUAUUUUUGAUCCUUCGUAGUUUUCAUAUAUUUUUUCAUCUAUUAUAAAUUCUUCUUUAUUCAUUUUAUUGUGAAUAGGUCAUGUUGAUAUACAUAUUCUAAACUAUCUAUUUGUGAUUCUAAUUUUGAUAUUUCAUCAACAAGCUAAAUUUCUUAUUAAUGUUUUUUCCAUUUUUAAUUCUUCUCUAUAUUUCUCACAUAAGUUUCUAUACCAUUGUUGUAAAUAUUUUAUUCUUGCUCCUAAUGUAUCUACUAAACCGCCCUCUUAGUUGAUCCGAACUACCUUCAAUAUUUUACUUUCG
rnacentral:lncRNA from 1 species